GAUGAACGCUGGCGGCGUGCCUAAUACAUGCAAGUCGAACGCUGAAGGAGGAGCUUGCUCUUCUGGAUGAGUUGCGAACGGGUGAGUAACGCGUAGGUAACCUGCCUGGUAGCGGGGGAUAACUAUUGGAAACGAUAGCUAAUACCGCAUGACAACAGUUAUUGCAUGAUAACUGUUUAAAAGGUGCAACUGCUCCACUACCAGAUGGACCUGCGUUGUAUUAGCUAGUUGGUGAGGUAACGGCUCACCAAGGCGACGAUACAUAGCCGACCGGAGAGGGUGGUCGGCCAGACUGGGACUGAGACACGGCCCAGACUCCUACGGGAGGCAGCAGGAGGGAAACUUCGGCAAGGGACGGAAGUCUGACCGAGCAACGCCGCGUGAGUGAAGAAGGUUUUCGGAUCGUAAAGCUCUGUUGUAAGAGAAGAACGAGUGUGAGAGUGGAAAGUUCACACUGUGACGGUAUCUUACCAGAAAGGGACGGCUAACUACGUG
rnacentral:rRNA from 1 species